GCAUGGACCUGGGGAAAGGGGAAGAAGAGGAUGUGGAGUGAGAGGAAACUUGGCCUUUGGGCCCAGACUCACAAGUGGAAAGGUCUGUCUGAGGAAUUUGGGGACACAGAAGUCCUUCCUUCAGUUAUAACUAAUGGCAUCAGCCUUCAGCUGGGAUCAAAAGUUGCCUCCAAGUGCACAAGACCCACUUCUGGAUGUGUGAAUACAAAAGAAAUGGAACUUCUGAGAUGCAGCCACCACAAGCAGGACAUAAGGGACAUUCAAAGAUGGAGCUGGCAAGAAGAGCCAUUCUGGGGAGAUGCUGAACAGACACGGACCAACAGAGGCCCCAGAGACCAGCGGGGGUGCCAGGGAAGAGAUGAUUGUCAGGAAAUUGGUUUGAAGGUAAAACUGGCGUCGUCCAGCCUGUCUGUUCGUGAUUUGAGGGCUCAUCAUCAUCUUUUCAUGGAUUCCUACUGCCCAACAAUGUCCACGCCUUGCAAAGUGUUCCUUGAUCUCCAGGUUUGUAACCAGAGGGCUGCUGCAAAAAUUGUUGUGCUGGCCAAUGGCUUAGACCACAUCAUUCCUUCCUGAGCUCCUCCCUGGCACCCUCUCUUCUCUGCCCCAAUUGUGGAGUGCUCAUCUUCCCGCUCCCAGCCCAUCAUUAUCCAC